UCCCCUCAUCUCUUCUUAUUUUUCUUAUUAUUGAUUUAUUCACCCUACAUCAUCUUAGCUUAGCUUUGAUGUAUUAUAGAGGAGUUGCUGAGUAACUACUCAUCGCCCGACCCUUGGACUUCAUUAUUAUUUUCAUACUCUGUAUCUCAUUUCAAAACCUAAAUACGCCUGAUACAUAACCCUGAUCUAUUUAUGCGUGUCUUUAUGCACUAAUUCAAUUUGUGCCAUAACAUGAUUUUUCAUUAUUUCUUUUUAAAAGGAGCAUCUUGCUGUUCUUUCUUGUUGUGAUUUCUUAGAUGCAAAUAAAAUUACAAUUUUUGAAUGUUAAAGCCUAUGCCUUGCAGGCAUCCUUUGAUUGGGCAAAAAAAAGGGUGUAGGAGCUUCAAGCACAUGGUUGGAUAGGGACUCUCUAAGGAGGAGAAAGCUCAACAACUUGCCUUACGGCACUAGAUUGAAGCUACCAAAUGGCCUGUGUAGCAGUUUGCUGCUAUUUGCUAUUGGCCAAACAUACAGAUAAUUAGCUUGAAGAAAUUCAGUGAAAAAUGAAAUUGAAAAGGGUCAAGAAGAGAAAGACGAGGAUGAAAAGUGCCACAAUAUCUACUAAUAAUGCCAAAGGCUGGAUUUGCUUGAAUCAGCAUUGGUUUAGCUUAGCGUGAUCUGAGGCCUAUCAUUGAGUUCAUGACUUUCAACUUCUCAAUGCAGAGAUGAAGAACUUGGACAUUUAUACACUACUCAUCAUUCUAAGAUCAUCUAAAAGAUUGCUUGUCUGACCCUAGGAAUGCUAUCAUCAUCUUCAUAUUUUAAAUAAAUUUCAAGAAAAAUGUCAUGGAGGUAAUAAAACUAUUUCUUGCAAGCCAUAGACCGCAUUAUCAAUUUUACUGCAAAAUCAAACUACAUGUCUGUCGAUAUAAUAUCAGUGCCUAUUGUUAUCAGAGGCCCAGAAGAGAGAAUGGGGAUUCGCUAUUUAUUUGUGCACUCUUCUUUUCACACUUAAAACUGGUUUCUCUACUGUUCACAAACUAGUUACUGCUCAUACGUAAAUAUUCUUCCAAAUAAAUCUCACCACUUGGAGCACCAAUUCAUUUUGUU